UUCCCCCCCGCCCCAGUCUGAUCGCAGCACUAGGGAGGGGAACUGAACCCAGGCUCAGUUUCCUUCCCCUGUGCUGUGAUUGGCUUCACACAGCCCCGCUGUGGGAGGCAGGGAGAGCCAGGGCUGCACUCCUGGCUGAUCCACAUGGGGUUGCAGAGCCGCUGGGAGCACAGACCUGGUUCUCCCCUGUCUCCCACCACCUGGCUGCUGGGUGCUUUGAAACUCGAAAUGUUUUGAAACUUUUGAAACAUUUUGACUAGCCUCAUUUUGUUUCGAGGUUGUUUCGAAGCCUUUGUUUCAAUUUGAUUUUGCUGUUUUGAGCUUGAAAUGAGUCAAAACAGUGUCGAAUCGAAACAGCCAGCAAAAUUUUGCACAGCCCUAAUAUUUUCUCAGCCUUGAAAAGCUAUAAGAAAAAUUUAACAGUUCAGGAAUACAAUCUAAUUAUCUGUCUGUUACUUAGAUGAUGAGUGUAUUGAAAAGGGAUACAAUAUUUUAGUUAUAAGGAGAAGUAUUUUUUUUCCUUCAAAACUUUACUUCCUUCUCAGGAAAAAGCACUGCUUUCAGGAGAUGUGAAAGAUAAAAAAGAGAAGCUCUCUGCUGCUCUACGUGUUUUCCUGACCUUUUGUUACUCAAGGUUAUUCUUCUACCUGGACUGUAAUUUCUACAUGUUCGCCUGCAUUACAGCAAUUGAUUCAUUUGGUCAAAAAAGAUGCUAGCAAAUACUGGAAAUUUGACUGUAGGCCAACAGUGGAAAGGUGACAGUGGAAUCCCUUUUUUUGGACCUUGCUCAGAAAAACAUCUCAGUGAAGAAAGAAGGCAGAGAGAACAUUUGAUUGCUUUCACUGGCAGAUUUUGAAUGCUCACACAAAGCCACUACCCAGUAUCCAGGUCAUUCCAAACGCAUACUGAUAACACCUCUCAAAUACAGUACACCAUGAUGUUUACCUUAUAUAGCCUGUAGUUUACCAGGAAAGUUUAAUUUUGCGGUUCUGAAGUUAUGUUCCUGUUAAUCUAAAGAGACAUGGCAUGCCAGUGUGCUACAGCUGUGAAAAAGGCCAGUGAUAUCCUAGGGUGUAUUAAGCAGGGUAAAUAAAAGGAGGUGCUGAUAUCAUUGUACCCAGCGUUGGCAGGACCUCAUUUAGAACACAGCACACGGUUCUGAUCACCAGUGCUCCAUUAAGGGAAUGGGGAUCUUUUCUAGUAAAAAAAGAUUAAAGGUACUUUGAUUGUUUCUAUCUAAGAAACAAAUAGAGAAGGCAUCUGAUCAUUCUUUACAAGUCCAUAUGUGGGGCAAAUAUUAGGAACAGUGAAGAGCUUCUUAGGUGAGAAACAACAAAUAUGGUCAAAUAACCAUUGGAUUUGGAAACUGAAUGAAUUUAAAUUUAGAAAUUAGAAAAUGUCUAUCAAAGUAGUCACUUCUGGAAUGAUCUUCCAAGUGCUAGGGACAAAAAAACCUGCAUUUCUUAAAGUCUGAACUGGCUAAGUUUAUGAAAGAGAUGGUCAAAUAUGGAAUUCUGGCACACCAAUGUAGAGUCAUAUGAUUUCAGCCCCCGAAUUGGGGUAUAAAGGUAGUUUUGUAAAGUUGAAAGCAUGUGGUUCCCAUACCUCAGGACUUUUAUUGUUUGCCAGUUGGGGCUAGGAAGAAAGUUAUUUUCUCUAGCUACAUGGAUGCUACUCACUUCUGGGGUGUUUGUUCACCUUCCCCUAGAUCAGAUUAGCACCAAGCAUAGGGACUUUUGCCUUCCUCUAUAGCAUAGGGCCUGGUUCUUUUCCAAGGUUCUUCUGAAGUACAGGGAAGUAUUUACCCUGCCUGGGCUUGGCAAUUUCCUUGUCUCUGCUUUUACCUGUGGUAUGUUAUAGGGUGUUUCUGGUGAUCUGGAUAUUUUACCUUGUGAGUGAGGCUCUGAAGUGUUGAUUUAGGAGAUGCCUUUGGCUAAAUGCAGCAGAUUGCAUCCAGAAUGCUCCUUCCAGUCCUGUGUUCCUAUGCAGCAGCAAUUACUUAAUUGCUAAAUCUGUCACAGAAGAUUUAGAGGGCUCCCAAAAGAGGUAGCAAACAGAACGGUGGAGCGGUUGUAAACAGAGCACACAUUCGCCCUUUGAUAGGGAAAGGCGGGGGGCAAAUCUUAGAUUCAUUUCCACAAUUUUUUAACCAGCCUGUAUGCCGAACUUGUGUUCUGUUACAGGUAUAGACCAGUUUCCAAUCACUUUUACCAGUAAAAGUGUAAUGUCUGUACCUGGCCCCUCUGUUUCCAAUUUUUGCACUACUGGAUGUUGUUUUAUUAGGGGUACAGCAAAAUUUAUUUUACAAUGUCAA